ACUCAGUCAUGGUCAUU
rnacentral:miRNA from 1 species